AGCAGCCGCGGUAAUUCCAGCUCCAAUAGCGUAUAUUAAAGUUGUUGCAGUUAAAAAGCUCGUAGUUGAAUUUCGGGAUCAGUACGCUGGUCGUGCCUUCGGUAUGUACUGGUGUUACUGGUUCCUACCUUCUGACGAACCGUCAUGUCAUUAAUUUGGUGUGGCGGGGAAUCAGGACUGUUACUUUGAAAAAAUUAGAGUGUUUAAAGCAGGCUCGCGCUUGAAUACAUUAGCAUGGAAUAAUGAAAUAGGACGUUGAUCCUAUUUUGUUGGUUUCUAGGAUUGACGUAAUGAUUAAUAGGGAUAGUUGGGGGCAUUAGUAUUCAAUUGUCAGAGGUGAAAUUCUUGGAUUUAUUGAAGACUAACUACUGCGAAAGCAUUUGCCAAGGAUGUUUUCAUUAAUCAAGAACGAAAGUUAGGGGAUCGAAGACGAUCAGAUACCGUCGUAGUCUUAACCAUAAACUAUGCCGACUAGGGAUCGGAUGAUGUUAAUUUUUUAAAUGACUCAUUCGGCGCCUUA
rnacentral:rRNA from 1 species